rnacentral:lncRNA from 1 species
GAGGUUCCAAGACACUCUAACAGUUCAAAUAAAUCAAGUAAGUUGGGCAUAUCAUAUGCAUGGUUCAAGGUUACACAAUGGCAUGUUAUCAUGAGGUGAUAAUCAUUGUACGGGUAAUUUGAGACAUUUAUCAUGGUAUGAGACAUUUAUCAUGAGACAGGUAUCAUGGUAUGAGUACAUUGGUCAGGUAACAGGUAUGGAGCAUAUCACAGGCAUAGCUCAGGAUUUCAUGUUGGCAUUUUAGCAUGAAACAAUUAUCAUGAUACAAGGUAAACAUAUACGGUAGGAUACGGUGUUCCAGUGGAACUCUGUCGGUCAUCUGCACCUUAUGACUUCCGGAUCCCCUCGGUUUGACUGGCCAUCACCUUAUCCCUCCAAUGGUAAUACUCGAGUAUACCGAAACGGUGUCCCAAGGUUCCAACCUACCCUACCGAGCCCAGUCCUGGCUCGAGUAGGUUAGUAACGAUGAGCAGGGCCCAAUUCAGCUUAGAGCUUACAACAUGCACAAGUAAUCAAGUAAUUCGGCAAAAGGUAAAAUUCAUCAUUUGAGUAGGUCGAGUGAGGUAAAGUACACACUCGCCUAACAAUGAUGGACAACUUCAUAUAACAUGGGAUUCAUGAUAAUCAAGUGAUCAAGUAAGUUGGUGAUUACGUAAGCAGAUAAUCAAGUAAGCAAGUAGCCGAAUAGAUUAGAAAACGGUAAGUAAACAUGGUUAACGGUAAACGGUUAACGGUGGUAAUUACGGUUAAUUGGUAGACAUAUGUCAUUUUAAUAGGCCACCAUUGGCCUUUUUCACUUUUUCCACAUAAGAGUCGAGGAGAUUCACUCCAACCGACUUAUGCUGUCAUAGCAUAAUUAAUCAUUUAAACACAUCAUGUAGAUAUGCUCUCCAAGCAUUUCAUAUCUAAUAUUUCAAGUAAUCACAUAAAUAUGCUCUUUAAGCAUUUCAUAUCGAAUAGUUCAAAUAUACAUAUUUCAGGUAUUUCAUGUCGAGUAAUUCAAGUAUACCUUAUUCAGAUAUGCAUGAGUGUGGUAAAUACUUAACAUAUAGCACUUAACACUUAAUAAUCAUGGGUUAUGCAUGUCAUAGACUUAUUCCAAUUACGUAUUCCUAUAUGGAACACUC